rnacentral:snoRNA from 1 species
AAUCCAUGCGUUGGGCACUUACACAAAAAUCUCUUGAACCUUGUCCAUGACUCGUGAAUUGGUUCACCCUACUUUUGCUUGAAAUUCUAAAUAUUGUCUCUCAGUUU